ACCUCUCAUGCCGUCUUCACCUUCGCUCUUCGUUGCGGCGCUCAAGGCCCCUCCUCCUCCGGAUUUGGAUUCGGUUUGUGAUCCUGAUAGGGCUCAUGGAAUUUAAUGAGUUUUGACAGUUGUCCGGAAAAUUAUCCAGAUGCAACCAAAAAAAAGAGGCAAGUAUGAUGUCACUCAGGCUCUCAGGGAACAAACUGGAGAGUAAAUAUUAGUAUGACGUAGUGACGACGCGAAGAUUUUAACCAUGUGGCUUUCGUUGUGGUCUGAUCCUUGACAAAAACCAGUGAAAUAUUGAAAAACUCUGAUCCUUCACAAAAACCAGUGAAACAUUGAAAAACAUGACGUCAAAGAGAAUAAUUUGUCCAAAUUCCUUAUAUUGGGGUGUGUUUAGUUCCACGUUAAAAUUAGAAGUUACUAAAAUUAAAAGUUUAUUGAAAAAAGUUAAAAGUUUGUGUGUAGAAAGUUUUGAUGUAAUGGAAAAGUUGAAAGUUUAAAUAAAAAAAUAUGAACUACAAGAGCUUGUAUCAUAUUGGACUAAAUUUGAUUUGAAAGAAAUUGUAUCAUAUUGGACUAAAUUUGAUUUGAAAGAAACUGGUGUGUUUCACGCUAAAAUUGAAAGUUUAGUUGAAAUUAAAACGAUGUGACGGAAAAAUUAGAAGUUUGUGUGUGUAGAAAAGUGAAAAGUAAAAAAUUUGAAGAAAAAGUUUGGAUUAAAACUCGCCUGAAACCUACUUCGAACAUACCACAGCUUUCAGACAGCUUUCAGCUAAAUAAGUGGAAAGCAGUGCUCAGGUCAGGAACGGAAAUAUGGCCAGCAUCACUGAAAGUCAGCAACGAAACAACAAGAACUCAGUCACAAACUCAAUUCAGUUUGGGCAACUCUUCUCCACUUCUCCAUAAAACAUCCAUUUGUGCAGAGGGCCAACAGCAGUUCCGGCUUCCGGUUUUAGUACAGUGGUCUCGAACCGUAUGUAGUACUUAAUUACCCUUUUUGCUUUUCUGGAUUAAUAUGUUGAGCUAUUGUCAUUUUAUAAGAUGAGUAUUUAUAAGUUGAGGUGUUGUUGAGUGCAUCAGUUCAAAACAAGACCAAGAGGUAUGAGAAUAUCUGAGUUGAACAUGUACUCUCUCCGUCCUAAAAUGUAAGUAUUUUAAACUAUGAAUAUAGACAUCUGUGUGCCCAGAUUCA